ACCUUUACUCCAAGUCUUGAUCACCGGUCCGAUUCGAAAUAAAUCCUCAGCAACAAAUUCUGGUGACUCAGGAAAGGAUGUAAUGGAAAUUAUACCCUUGGACAAUGGUUCCAAAAUACCAA
rnacentral:lncRNA from 1 species